rnacentral:lncRNA from 1 species
GGAAAAAAGACUUCAGGAUCACAAAUCACUCAGACAACUUUGAGAAUCUUUCUUUGGAGAUGAACUCCAGGAUCAGCACCUCAGACAGACUACUGCUGAGUUAUGGGAC